UACGGAGGGGGCUAGCGUUGUUCGGAAUUACUGGGCGUAAAGCGCGCGUAGGCGGCUUUGCAAGUUAGAGGUGAAAGCCCAGGGCUCAACCCUGGAAUUGCCUUUAAGACUGCAUCGCUUGAACAUCGGAGAGGUAAGUGGAAUUCCGAGUGUAGAGGUGAAAUUCGUAGAUAUUCGGAAGAACACCAGUGGCGAAGGCGACUUACUGGACGAUUGUUGACGCUGAGGUGCGAAAGCGUGGGGAGCAAACAGG
rnacentral:rRNA from 1 species